UUAAGCGACUAAGCGUACACGGUGGAUGCCCUGGCAGUCAGAGGCGAUGAAGGGCGUGCUAAUCUGCGAUAAGCGCCGGUAAGGUGAUAUGAACCGUUAUAACCGGCGAUACCCGAAUGGGGAAACCCAGUGUGACUCGUCACACUAUCAUUAACUGAAUCCAUAGGUUAAUGAGGCGAACCGGGGGAACUGAAACAUCUAAGUACCCCGAGGAAAAGAAAUCAACCGAGAUUCCCCCAGUAGCGGCGAGCGAACGGGGAGUAGCCCAGAGCCUGAAUCAGCAUGUGUGUUAGUGGAAGCGUCUGGAAAGGCGCGCGAUACAGGGUGACAGCCCCGUACACAAAAGCGCAUGUGCUGUGAGCUCGAUGAGUAGGGCGGGACACGUGGUAUCCUGUCUGAAUAUGGGGGGACCAUCCUCCAAGGCUAAAUACUCCUGACUGACCGAUAGUGAACCAGUACCGUGAGGGAAAGGCGAAAAGAACCCCGGCGAGGGGAGUGAAAAAGAACCUGAAACCGUGUACGUACAAGCAGUGGGAGCACCCUUUGGGGUGUGACUGCGUACCUUUUGUAUAAUGGGUCAGCGACUUAUAUUCUGUAGCAAGGUUAACCGAAUAGGGGAGCCGUAGGGAAACCGAGUCUUAAUUGGGCGUUAAGUUGCAGGGUAUAGACCCGAAACCCGGUGAUCUAGCCAUGGGCAGGUUGAAGGUUGGGUAACACUAACUGGAGGACCGAACCGACUAAUGUUGAAAAAUUAGCGGAUGACCUGUGGCUGGGGGUGAAAGGCCAAUCAAACCGGGAGAUAGCUGGUUCUCCCCGAAAGCUAUUUAGGUAGCGCCUCGUGAACUCAUCUCCGGGGGUAGAGCACUGUUUCGGCUAGGGGGCCAUCCCGGCUUACCAACCCGAUGCAAACUGCGAAUACCGGAGAAUGUUAUCACGGGAGACACACGGCGGGUGCUAACGUCCGUCGUGAAGAGGGAAACAACCCAGACCGCCAGCUAAGGUCCCAAAGUCAUGGUUAAGUGGGAAACGAUGUGGGAAGGCCCAGACAGCCAGGAUGUUGGCUUAGAAGCAGCCAUCAUUUAAAGAAAGCGUAAUAGCUCACUGGUCGAGUCGGCCUGCGCGGAAGAUGUAACGGGGCUAAACCAUGCACCGAAGCUGCGGCAGCGACACUGUGUGUUGUUGGGUAGGGGAGCGUUCUGUAAGCCUGUGAAGGUGGCCUGUGAGGGUUGCUGGAGGUAUCAGAAGUGCGAAUGCUGACAUAAGUAACGAUAAAGCGGGUGAAAAGCCGCUCGCCGGAAGACCAAGGGUUCCUGUCCAACGUUAAUCGGGGCAGGGUGAGUCGACCCCUAAGGCGAGGCCGAAAGGCGUAGUCGAUGGGAAACGGGUUAAUAUUCCCGUACUUGGUGUUACUGCGAAGGGGGGACGGAGAAGGCUAUGUUGGCCGGGCGACGGUUGUCCCGGUUUAAGCGUGUAGGUGUGUGUUCCAGGUAAAUCCGGUUCACUUUAACACUGAGGCGUGACGACGAGGCACUACGGUGCUGAAGCAACAAAUGCCCUGCUUCCAGGAAAAGCCUCUAAGCAUCAGGUAACAUCAAAUCGUACCCCAAACCGACACAGGUGGUCAGGUAGAGAAUACCAAGGCGCUUGAGAGAACUCGGGUGAAGGAACUAGGCAAAAUGGUGCCGUAACUUCGGGAGAAGGCACGCUGACACGUAGGUGAAGUGAUUUACUCAUGGAGCUGAAGUCAGUCGAAGAUACCAGCUGGCUGCAACUGUUUAUUAAAAACACAGCACUGUGCAAACACGAAAGUGGACGUAUACGGUGUGACGCCUGCCCGGUGCCGGAAGGUUAAUUGAUGGGGUCAGCGCAAGCGAAGCUCCUGAUCGAAGCCCCGGUAAACGGCGGCCGUAACUAUAACGGUCCUAAGGUAGCGAAAUUCCUUGUCGGGUAAGUUCCGACCUGCACGAAUGGCGUAAUGAUGGCCAGGCUGUCUCCACCCGAGACUCAGUGAAAUUGAACUCGCUGUGAAGAUGCAGUGUACCCGCGGCAAGACGGAAAGACCCCGUGAACCUUUACUAUAGCUUGACACUGAACAUUGAGCCUUGAUGUGUAGGAUAGGUGGGAGGCUUUGAAGCGUGGACGCCAGUCUGCGUGGAGCCGACCUUGAAAUACCACCCUUUAAUGUUUGAUGUUCUAACGUGGACCCGUAAUCCGGGUUGCGGACAGUGUCUGGUGGGUAGUUUGACUGGGGCGGUCUCCUCCUAAAGAGUAACGGAGGAGCACGAAGGUUGGCUAAUCCUGGUCGGACAUCAGGAGGUUAGUGCAAUGGCAUAAGCCAGCUUGACUGCGAGCGUGACGGCGCGAGCAGGUGCGAAAGCAGGUCAUAGUGAUCCGGUGGUUCUGAAUGGAAGGGCCAUCGCUCAACGGAUAAAAGGUACUCCGGGGAUAACAGGCUGAUACCGCCCAAGAGUUCAUAUCGACGGCGGUGUUUGGCACCUCGAUGUCGGCUCAUCACAUCCUGGGGCUGAAGUAGGUCCCAAGGGUAUGGCUGUUCGCCAUUUAAAGUGGUACGCGAGCUGGGUUUAGAACGUCGUGAGACAGUUCGGUCCCUAUCUGCCGUGGGCGCUGGAGAACUGAGGGGGGCUGCUCCUAGUACGAGAGGACCGGAGUGGACGCAUCACUGGUGUUCGGGUUGUCAUGCCAAUGGCACUGCCCGGUAGCUAAAUGCGGAAGAGAUAAGUGCUGAAAGCAUCUAAGCACGAAACUUGCCCCGAGAUGAGUUCUCCCUGAGACUUAGAGUCUCCUGAAGGAACGUUGAAGACGACGACGUUGAUAGGCCGGGUGUGUAAGCGCAGCGAUGCGUUGAGCUAACCGGUACUAAUGAACCGUGAGGCUUAACCUU
rnacentral:rRNA from 1 species